GGAUGUGAGGGCGAUCUGGCUGUGACAUCUGUCACCCCAGUGAUCGCCAGGGUUGAUCUGACUGAUGUGGCGGGGUAGGCGGGUGUCCCCUUCCUCCCUCACGGCUCCAUGUGCGUCCCUCCUGAAGCUGCGCGCUCCGUUGAAGAGGACGGCCUUCCCCGAAUAGAGACCAACUGGUCUUAGGUCGAGGGUGUACGAGUAGCUGUGCUCCCCUGCUAGAACCUUCAAACAAGCUCUCAAGGUCCUAGCAGCCCUGUGGUCCAGCCCCAUCCGCUCAUAAGGAGC
rnacentral:snRNA from 1 species